rnacentral:rRNA from 1 species
UACGUAGGGGGCAAGCGUUGUCCGGAAUCAUUGGGCGUAAAGCGCGUGUAGGCGGUUCGGUAAGUCUGCUGUGAAAGUCCAGGGCUCAACCCUGGGAUGCCGGUGGAUACUGUCGGGCUAGAGUACGGAAGAGGCGAGUGGGAUUCCCGGUGUAGCGGUGAAAUGCGCAGAUAUCGGGAGGAACACCAAUUGCGAAGGCAGCUCGCUGGGACGUCACUGACGCUGAGACGCGAAAGCGUGGGGAGCAAACAGG